AUGCUUUCAAGGUCUGUGAAGCCAAACUUGAUGCUGGGGAUUUAUUUUUGUCAGUGGAGUCAAAUGGUUGAAGCAGAAUUUGCCCGUCUUACAUCUGUUGACCUGAAAGGGUUCCUUUUUGCUGUGCUUAACCAUUAUGGAGAGGUUCGUGGAGCUGUACAAAAUCAAGAGCGGCAUAGGAGGGCUAACUAGGCUCAUAAAAUGCUUCGGUGAUGAUAGCCCUACACAAAGGAAGAGGACAGAGGACCUCAUUUUCUAAAGGAAGAUCCCUCACACACUUUCAAGACUGUGAAGGUUAGCAUUGUUUCUUUUAGUAAAUUUAAUAAGUGGAUUUUAAAUUAAACAUGUGGCAUCUAUGAAUAGAUGCCACAUGAUAACAUGUGUACUUUUUCCUCACCAAAUGUAUUAUUACAAGAUCUUUGACAGUGG
rnacentral:lncRNA from 1 species